AAUUUCUACUUUAUUUUAUUAAAUCUCUUGUCAUUAAUGAUUGAAAUGAGUUCACAUGAUUCUUGAGGGAUUUCUUCCUGCUUGUUCUUCUCCAUCUCAGCCCAAUGCCAAAGAUCCAGGUUCCAUGGAUUUUUUUUUUUUUUUUUUUUUACCAUAUUGAAUUGGAUUAUGUACAUAAUUUCAUUGUAGCAUUUCUGGAGCUUUUGCCUUGGUCUGGAGACUUUCUUUCUCAUAUCUUUUUUUAAACUGGAGAAUGCAGGAUAUUUUAUUAGCUUUUUGUUUCAUACUGAGAAAUAGAAUGUUAGUAGAUAGAAUUUAGUCUGUGGUUGGCCGCUACAUAAGUGCCCCAGAGCAGCUUGAUGCAGCGGAGAGAGACCUAGUUCUGGGGUCAUAGGACCUGAAUUCAAGUCCUGCCUCUGACGCUACCUUUAUGACUUUGGACAAAGCACUUAAACUCUCUGGCAAAAAUGUGCCUGAAGUUCUAGGUCUGGGUCUUAGACGAGCCUUUUGUCUGGGACCCUAAGACAUAGUCUGUGGUUCUUUGUGCGAGUUGAAGCUUAGGGAAGUCUCUGCCGCUGCUGUGAGUCAAGUGGCGCCUUGGCUUACGCCGUUCGCCAGGAGGGUGACUUUCAGGGGUCCUCGUUCAGAAGCCCGAUGGCCACCCCUUUCCAGGAGACAUUGCUCGCCACCUCUGGGAUGGCUUGUACAGCGACAGCAUGAAAGUUCCAAGAGCUCCAUUCCCAGGACCGGCCGUGGACAGAUUGGAGCUGUUACUUCUUUCCAGGCUAAUCCUAGGUAUCAGGAUGGAAAUGGCCCCGUCAGACCACAGUUCUCUGGCUUGACUAGAAUAUAUCACUCUAAUUCACUUGUCAAGCUUAACUUGGAUAAAAACAUAUAUAUGAAAAAGACCUCAGGAAUACAAUGAGGCACAGGAUCAAAGCGUGUUUGAGCACCCAAAGAAAGUUGGUUCAGGAGUUAAACUCGUCCAAAGUAUGUUGGCCUUAUUCACAUUUGUCGCCAGCAUCCCAUUCGUUACCCUAAAUAGUCUUUAAAAAACAAUUUUUAAAAAUUUUUUUUAUUUUUCAAAAUAUGUGCAAAGAUAAUUUUCAACAUUCACCCUUGCAAAACAUUGUGUUCCAAAGUUUUCUUCCUCCCUUCUCUCCACCCCCUCACCAAGGCAGCAAGUAAUCCAUGUUAAACAUAUACAAUUCUUCUAAAUAUUAAUUUUUUAAAAAGAGAGAAGUGAUUGACACUGGCCAAUUUUAAAAUGCCAAAGGAAUUUAUAAGUGAAUUCCUUUAUCACAUCCAGCUAAUUUGGAAGUGCUGAGUCCAUAAAUUUAUUUACACAAUGACUUUUUCCAUUUUGCAUCACGAGUUCUAAGCUAAAAACCGCUCACAAUUCCAUCUGGACAUGAUAUCAGAAGUUCAGUCCCUCCUGCCCUAGGAUAGCUGUACUUGAUUUGCAUCAGUUUUCAGUUUGGAUUAUAAAAGCCAGAUUAUCAGCUUGGACUAGCGGACCGAAGGCAUAGGCGGCCAUACCUUGAUCUGGCUGGUCUUGGAGACAGCACAAGAAUUGAUCUCCAGAGUGUUGUCCUCAAAGGUGAUGGGCCUAAAAAAAAAAAUCAGGCAACAGGCAAAUGCACAUUUUAGUCAACAUGGAAAUUUAUCCCACAGUCGUAGUCAUGAUUCUUUAGGCACUUUUAAUACGUCCAACUACAGGAAGUGCUGCUAAAGAAUUUUCAGGCAAUGAAUUUUUAAAAACUGGCUUUUAGGCUAGCAAUGUCUAUAGAGUCACUAUAUUUUAUACUUAUUAGUGUAGCCCUUGUUGUGGUCACAUUUUUAACCUCAGGAGAUCUGUAGACAUGCUGGUAAGUGCAAUAAUCUGCUUUUCCUCUUAGAGCAAACUUUUUUAGUACUAAGAUGACUAACCAACCUUCCCUACUUUCUCCUAAAUAGCUCAUGAGCCCUAUGGGCAGACACCCUAUCUAAGCCAUUAUACAUAUAGUGGCUAGUUCUAUUCAAGCAUUUAAUAAAAGUGCUUAAUAUAUGAAAAUGAGUGUUAUUACACUUUUGGUACCAGACAAACUUCAGUUUUCCAGAAGCACAGAAAGAUUAUGUCAUUUAAAAUGAUCACUGUUCAAGCAGUUUACUUGGAGUAAGCCUCGGAUUUGCUUAUGUACAUACACAUGGAUCUCUAGCAGAUAUUUGUUUAAAGUCAUUAUGUAAAUUUGCACUAUGUAAAUUAUUGAUGUAAUGUUGAAGUUCUUUGGGAUUAUUGCAUUGUUCCUGUGUACUUUUUUCUACUGUGCUCCAUUUAAAUGGAGCAAAUUCAAGUUUUAAAGGGGUCUGCUUUAAACUGUAACUUGAACAUCCAAUUUCAUAAAAUGAUUGUCAUUAUUUCUUAAUAUUUCCAUGUCAAAUACAUGGUGUUCCCCCCAAAUGUAUAUGUACUUUGGUUAUUAGCUGCUACUAUGUUUUCUAAAAAAGAAAAGAUGCUAAGAGUUAUGGACUGAAAAGAUGUAUAUACAACUUUUGGAGAAAGCUUGUUUAGUCCCAGAAAGCAAAAGGGCCAAAUUCAAGUUAAAUCAAGAUCUUAUAGUUAAGCUCAUUCCUGUAAAUAUUUUUUUUUCCAUUUUAAAAUGCCUUUGGAAAAAAAAGAAAAUUUUACAUGGUGAUGAUGGUCAUCUUCCUACCUAUUUUGGUGAAGGGGGAUCAAAAAAGCUAUGUGUGGUCAUGAUUCAACUUCUCAAAUGGUUACAAUGAACUGGUUAUCAUUUUUGAAAGAGGGCAAAAUUAAUGCUGCCAAACACUUGAUUUGCACUUUCAAAACCAAUACCUCACUCUCCAUUCAUAACUUGUUUUAUUUACAUUUUUGUGAAUCAUUUUCAAAUUUUUUUCCUAAAGUAUUUAAUCAAUUUUUCAAAUGUUUGUCCAGUGAAAGAGCAUUUUUUAAAAAAUCAAAAAUAUCUAACUCAUGCACAGAAAUCUGUGGGGAACAAAUAGAAAACUGGUACUGAAUUUCUGCUAAUAAGUUCUUUGUAUCCUUUCCUUUUUUCUAAAAUAAUUUCAUUACAGACUUAGGACUCAACAACAUAAACUAAGCAGAAGGAAUAAAAUCAUGAAAUCCAUACUCUUAAGUUAGAAAUUUUAAAAAUACUUCAUACUAAUUUAAAUAAAAUAAUAUUUUGAUCCAACCUGUGAUUUCUUUUACAUGUGUUUGUUGCCCUUAGUUUUGUUUUUGAUUCAGCCAGAGUUCAACAUGAAUGUACUUAACCCAAUUUGUAUGUCUUCACUUUUUUUGUGCUGUAGGGCAUAUGUUUUUUUCCUGGACUAUAAUAUUGUACAGCUCUAGUAGCCCACAAAAGUUGUUGCUGAGUUUUUGCUAAAAUUCCAUUUAAAGUGAAUCAGUCGUAGCUUUCAGAUUGUUUUGCUUCUAUUCCUUGCUUACAAUAGAUACGAAAUUCUUAUUGAUGAUAUUAGGUAUAUUAAAGCUCUAUAUGUUAGUUUUUGGAUAAUAUUUAUUUAAAAUGGAAGUUUUUUCAACUACCCUAAUCAUAUUUCUUGCUCUUUUUUUUUGAGAGACAAUUGGGGUUAAAUGAUUUGCCCAGGAUCCCACAGCCAGGAAGUGUUAAGCAUCUGAGGCCACUGUUUGAACUCAGGUUCUCCUGACUCCAGUACCGGUGCUCUAGCCACUAAGCUGCCCAGUAAUCAUAUUUCUUUAAAAUUAGCCAGUGACUCCGCCCUCGUGUUGGUGGGUUACAAGGGGAUGGAUGUUAGAGAUGCAUCUAUGUCUUCCUAAGGGAACAAGGAUGAAAUUAUGACCACUAAUUCUAGCCGACAAGUUCUUUAAAAAAAAAAAAAAAAAAAAAAGACUGGAAUAAGUUUGUCGGAUCGGCCAACCCUAUUCUGACCUUUUUUAAAAGGGCUAAAAUUGGGGUUUCUCUGCUGUGUGUGACCAUGUGGGUGCAUUCAUGCUACAUCUCCAGUGUGACAAGAAUUAAGUUCUCUAGCAAUGAUGCAACAUGGGUCUUUCUCCACAGUUUAGGUGAAGGUCCCCUUCCUUAGAGGUACUUUAGACUAAAUCUUAAAAUGUCAAGAGACAGAGCAAACUUACCCUCGUUGGGUAUGGGAGCUGAAAUUGUUUUGUCUUUUCUGAAGGUUCAGUCUAGUAUAAUUUUAAUUCUCAAGGGAAAUAACACUGCAGUGUUGAUAGAAAAAUAGUCACAUGGUAUUGCUAUUUCUUUCCAGUUCAUAUAAGGAAAAGGAAUUUUAACUUUUUUUCUGUAUUUAAAUUGAUAUACAUCCUUGUCUGUUUUGUGAUAAUGGUGAUUAGUAAGAUUGAGUUGUGCUAAUAAAUUAUCAUUUACAACA
ensembl:lncRNA